rnacentral:rRNA from 1 species
GAUGAACGCUGGCGGCGUGCCUAAUACAUGCAAGUCGAGCGAACGGACGAGAAGCUUGCUUCUCUGAUGUUAGCGGCGGACGGGUGAGUAACACGUGGAUAACCUACCUAUAAGACUGGGAUAACUUCGGGAAACCGGAGCUAAUACCGGAUAAUAUUUUGAACCGCAUGGUUCAAAAGUGAAAGACGGUCUUGCUGUCACUUAUAGAUGGAUCCGCGCUGCAUUAGCUAGUUGGUAAGGUAACGGCUUACCAAGGCAACGAUGCAUAGCCGACCUGAGAGGGUGAUCGGCCACACUGAAACUGAGACACGGUCCAGACUCCUACGGGAGGCAGCAGGAGGGAAUCUUCCGCAAUGGGCGAAAGCCUGACGGAGCAACGCCGCGUGAGUGAUGAAGGUCUGCGGAGCGUAAAACUCUGUUAUGGGGGAAGAACAUAUGUGUAAGUAACUGUGCACAUCUUGACGGUACCUAAUCAGAAAGCCACGGCUAACUACG